UGAGAAACACCCGAGCCUGGCUGCUGCAUGGCAGAAAGGUCGGCUCCACUCCCUGACCUGUCCUGUGACCCUGAGCAGCGGUGCUGGGGCACACGUGGGGGUUGUGGUACCUAGGCAUAGUCCUGGACUCCUUCCUUAUAAAUGUUACAGCAAUGGGAGGAGGCAGGAAAGGUUGUGAUGGUGAUUUUGUGCAAGCAACAGAACUUCCCGGAGUUUCAUGCAGCUCAUGCAAAGACAGGCUGCUCUUGCAAACCAUGUGCUUUAUGGAGCAGAAAAAACCCACAGUUUGGCCAGCGCUCAAGCACCUUUCUCUGUUGUCCUUGUGAUGUGUCAGAUGCUGUUAAGAUUUUCCUUUGUAAGUAUCCGAAGGGUCUGGUCCAGGUCUGGCUCUCUGCAGCGCGAGCACCGGGCAGUGGGCGCUCAGCAUGGACCUGCAGGAGGGAGGAGAUGCUGCUGCGGCACAGGGAUGCUGCAGGGCGUGGGGCAGCUGCUGUGAGCCAUGAAGCUGUGCCUGAAGAGGUUUUCAUGUGCUGAAGUGUUUCUUUAUAUAAAUAGCAGUGAAGAAUGAGCUUUGACUUCUUGCUCCUCCCCCCAGCCAUCAGCAGCGUUUGAAAUAUCCAGAUUACAUGUGGAAUAAAUGGAGGAGAACGUAUUACAUCAAAGGUUGGAGUUCUGAGUUUCUACUCUCUCUUACAGACGUUAGCUUGAAGCUAUGACUACACGUUAGGAGAGCAAUUGCAGGUGAAUUUCUAUUUCCCUUCCCAUGGGAAUGCCAGACUGCUCUUGAGGAAAGCUGCUCCACCACUCCAAAAAAUGUUGAUUUAAAUACUGAAGUGCAAGAAAUUGUAUUGUGAACCUUUUUUGAAACAACAACAACAACAACCAAACAAAAACAAAACAAAACAAAAGAACUGAAUUAACAUUUACUGUUAACCCCCUGACUGUACGGCAUCCAAUCUUUCUCCCACCAGGUCUCGUGACUCAGAGCUCCCUGGAGGGGAUUGUGUGGAUUUCUCAUUCUAAACUCCAGUCACCCUGAAUACCAGGGCAGCUGUCCCCCACAACACCAUCUCCUGACAUCUAACCACACCAGCUGCCUCGCUGCUGAGAUGACGGCGGAGAGAAAUUGAAGAAGUUUAUAGAAAGUGAGUGGUGUCUUCCGGACCAGCUCUGCGCUCACUGCAGUCACUCCUAUGAUGAAGCAGCUCCCAAACAAAAAUCUUUAUCCCCUCAUUUUUCUAAGGAAUGAUGAUUCUUUUUGCAACUUGUGCUCCUGUUCUGAUACAGAUCUUCUCUACCUAGACACAGAAUGGAGUGGAGCAAAGCCAUGAGCUAUCGAAGGCUUUCUGCACUGAUUUUGCUAAGUGCCUCCUCCUCAGGAAGGAAAAGGAUGCCUGCCUGCCCUUCCUUGUAAUACAGGGCUCAGUUUCUCUAAGGAGGCACCAGCUAUGGGAGGUUAAUGCUCCCGUGUCACCCUGUCACCGCUGUCCCUUUCUACUUUCUCUUCUUUUGGCAGCUCAGGGGUGUGGAGUGGGGAGCAGGCAGAAGGUGAAUUUCCAAAGCCUUAAGGAAAUCAGCUUGCUUUUGGGUAUCAAGGACAAACAGGGCUCUGCAGCAACCUCACGUUUAAUUAGCAGAGAGACGUUCCCAAGAGGAAGGAGAGCAACACGGGGUGCUGGGGAAGGCCAUAUGCCCUGGGAACCUGAUCCUUGCUUGAGGAAGCUCUCAGUGCACAGAUGUGUAACUCCUGUUCCCCUUGGUUUUGUGAGAUAUGAGAAAGCUCGUAGUGACCUGACCAAAAUGAAAUAAUGGGGAUUUUGUUUACACCUUACUGGGUUGGGAUUAGAUGGGAAGCUCUUCACAGCUCUGCCCUCCUCAAGAUAUGUCUGCUCCGUCCUCCUGGCACUGCCAGCCACUGGCCAUGCAGGAUUUCUCCUCCCCAGUGCCAGUCCACUGUGCCUUUCCUCUGGGGUCAGCCAGGAGCCGUGCCAGCCCCACACACUGUUCUACUGCUGCAGACCCCCAGGCUCUGCAGGCUGCCACAUGGCCCUCCUGCAUCCUCUCACCCCACCACCACCCUCCUUGUGUUUUUUUUUAUUUUUGCCAGCUUCCCCCUUGCUACAGGAUAUGAGCCUUUCUCUCAGGGAAAUAAAAAUUUGGAUUAAAAUUUGCCUUUAUUGCUCCCUUUCCAAAAUUAGGCUGAAAGGAAGAAUUUUCAGGGGAGUGCAGGAGA